UGGGGAAUUUUGGACAAUGGGGGAAACCCUGAUCCAGCCAUCCCGCGUGUGCGAUGAAGGCCUUCGGGUUGUAAAGCACUUUUGGCAGGAAAGAAACGUCAUGGGUUAAUACCCCGUGAAACUGACGGUACCUGCAGAAUAAGCACCGGCUAACUACGUGCCAGCAGCCGCGGUAAUACGUAGGGUGCAAGCGUUAAUCGGAAUUACUGGGCGUAAAGCGUGCGCAGGCGGUUCGGAAAGAAAGAUGUGAAAUCCCAGAGCUCAACUUUGGAACUGCAUUUUUAACUACCGGGCUAGAGUGUGUCAGAGGGAGGUGGAAUACCGCGUGUAGCAGUGAAAUGCGUAGAUAUGCGGAGGAACACCGAUGGCGAAGGCAGCCUCCUGGGAUAACACUGACGCUCAUGCACGAAAGCGUGGGGAGCAAACAGG
rnacentral:rRNA from 1 species